rnacentral:rRNA from 1 species
UACCAGCACCCCGAGUGGUCGGGACGUUUAUUGGGCCUAAAGCAUCCGUAGCCGGUUCUACAAGUCUUCCGUUAAAUCCAACUGCUUAACAGGUGGGCUGCGGAAGAUACUAUAGAGCUAGGAGGCGGGAGAGGCAAGCGGUACUCGAUGGGUAGGGGUAAAAUCCGUUGAUCCAUUGAAGACCACCAGUGGCGAAGGCGGCUUGCCAGAACGCGCUCGACGGGUGAGGGAUGAAAGCUGGGGAGCAA